rnacentral:tRNA from 1 species
GAGCCUGUAGCUUAGCCUGGCUGGAGCACCGGUCUUAUAAGCCGGAAGUCGUGGGUUCAAAUCCCAUCAGGCUCA